rnacentral:lncRNA from 1 species
GAUGAACGGAGUAUCACUCCUGUCAACUUGGCCGGGCGGUGAACGACCAUGCUUGCCGCCCCCAACACCUUGAAGAAACCCGAGUUGAUGAACGAAGUAUCACUCCUCUCAACUUGGCCGGGCGGUGAACGACCAUGCCAGCCUCCCUCAACAUAUAAAGGGUCGCCCAUUUAAGGAAAGGGACACCGUCAGACUCCUCGGUCGUUCGACCAUAACCUCUCGGUCAUUCGGCCUCUUGUCUCGACUUUCAGAGGUCACAACCGCUCAACCCUGGCCUAGCAGCUACUCUCGGCCUCCAAAGGCCCCAACUUCUCGGCCUCAUCAACCGUUCGACCCGGCGAACUCAGCCAAAAUUGGCAAUCUUCGAGCUUUCGGCCAUUGGACCUCCAACCGUCUGGCCAUCCAUUGGCAUCAACAAGCCAGCCUCCAAGGGCCCUUACCGUUUGGCCAUCCAUUGGCUUCACUCGUCGGUCAUCCAUUUACCUCAACUCCUAGGCCUUUGGCCACAAGGUCUCGGCCAUUCAACCUCUCGGCCAUCAACUGGCCUCGCCUCUCUCCCUCCUAGGGCCCACACAGUUCCGACAUACAAACGGCCUUAAUUCGAUCGCCC